CCAUUCCCUGUCUCAUCAUUUCUCUCUCAUUCGUCUCUCUUUCUCGCAAAGCCUCUCUCGUCUCUCUCAAAGACCCACGCGAGAAGGCCCCACCACCUACCGACAGCCUCUGCUUGGUCUUCAAAUGCCUCAUCUUCUUUUACUGUACAUUGCAUUCUUAUCUUCACUUUUGCUUUUCAAUUUCACACGUCUCCUCUGCCUUUGAACGACACCCCCUUCCUCACUCUUCUCUUUCAUUUUCCUGCGUUUCCUUUUGAUUCUUUUGGGUUCGGUCGAUGAAGCCUGCACGCUUCCCUUAUCACCACCGACAGCCUUCUGCCCCAUUUCCCCACCGAUUCCUCUCUGCCACGUCCGAGUUUCCUCCAAGCUCGGUCGACCGAAGAAGCGCCCCCCAGCCGUGUUGACUCCCCUGCCAGCGAAGCUCACCUUCGUUUGUCUCCAUCCUCUGAGCAGCCCCGCACCUUCGGUCCCUCAUCUCUGCCUCCACCGAACACCUCUCAUCUCCUGCCAUUGUUCGCGCCUGCCCACCUCACGCCCACGCGUCCACAGCUUCUACCUUUGAAGUCACCGUUGCCGAUUUGUUGACCCCGAGUCUCCUCGGCCAACCGUUCGCGUGAGACUUCCAUGGAGCAGCUCCCAUCUUCACUCGUGGAUCAGCCCUGCAAUCCUUUCCGCUAGUUUGUUAAUCGUGGAUCUCCGCUCGUCCAGCGUCAAGAGACCGAAUCAGCCGCGUCUUCUCUCUCUAUCGUCCGAGGCAGUCCCUGUCCGUGUCUUCGAGCAGCCGUCUUCAGCACGUCCAUUUCAGCCCAUAAGAAGUCAGCCCAAUUCAGCAGCUCCAUUCAAGCCCACGAGCCCAAAUGAGUUCAGUCCAUCAAAAGCCCAGCGAAAUUUUGAGGCCCAAGCCCGUGAAGUCAGGCCCACCGAAUCAGUGGACUCAGCCCAGCUCGAGCAGCGAGCUUGUAGGCCGAUUUCGGCCCCGAUUUGACCCCGGUUGGCGGACCCGCUUCGGAUGGGAUUGACCCUUGUCGCCUGCUCGUCGAUUUGGUCCGAUUGGCUCGUUAAUCAAGUGAGUUUUACUCACUAAUGCUUUAUUAGUUUGCUAAAUAUGCUUAGGGGUUGGUUAGAUUUAAUUAAACGCAAUUAGGUGGUUAGAUUAGUUUAGAUCAAUUAAAUUAGAGACUUAAUGAUGCAUGUUAGGUGGUUAGAAAUAGACAUUAGCAAGUAGGCAUGCCAUGUUAUUUAUGGAACGAGUCCCGGUAAUUUUCCGGGCUCGUCUCGGCGUCCAAUCAGGCAAUACGGGCCUAAAUUGGAUUUUUAGUAUUUAUUUAUUUAUUUUUCGAAAUUAAUUAUUUAUUUAUUUAUUUUUCCGGAAAUUCAACCGGGAUGGCCGGUGACCGGAAUUUCGUACUGAUUGUCGUGGUGCAGUCCGUUUAUUUAAUUGAGCUUCAAUUUAUAUGGAAUUGAUUUAAAUUGUGAAAUUUGAGGAUUUGUCCUAAAUUGAAUGAAAUCGAAUAAUUGAUUGGUUGAUGGCCGAGUAUUGUUAUUUAGCAUCGAUAAUGCUGUAAUGAUCUGUAAAGCAGAGGGAACUGUGAAAGUGAAUUGGGGAAAUUCUCGGCUGAAACCAAUCAGGAACGAUGUAAUGAGACAUACGUGGUUCGGUGAUUAAAAGAUAUCACUGGUGAAAACGGCGCCUUAAAGAACGCACGAAUGCUGUCUAUUACAUGCAGCAGUAUGGACAUACGUGGUUCGGUGAUUAAAGGAUAUCACUGGUGAAAACGGCGCCUUAAAGAACGCACGAGUGUUGUCUAUUACAUGCAGCAGUAUGGACAUACGUGGUUCGGUGAUGGAGGAUAUCACUGGUGAAAACGGCGCCUUAAAGAACGCACGAGUGCUGUCCAUUAUACACGUCACCUUGGCGAAAAAGACGCCCGAGAGCAUUAAUGAGGCUCUGUGACUAAGUGUACUGCUGGAGAUUAUCGUGAUCGGUAAUUGGUACGUCACCUUGGCGAAAAAGACGCCCGAGAGCAUUCAUCUGGCUCUGUGACUGAGUACCCGAAUGGAGAUUAUAAAGUAUGGUGUUGAUGUGACCGAGAGGUGGUCCGAAUGACAUGUAAUCGACUAGGUCGAUUGAUCAUUGUUUUGAUCUGAUGUUGUGAAUUGGUUGAUUGAAUGGGAAUGGCCGUGAGUGGUCUUGUUGGCAUGUGAUCGACUAGAUCGAUUUGAUCAAUACUUCGAUCUGUGAUGUGAUUGCUUGGGUGCCUAUUGAAUUGUGCUAAUAUGCAGGUGAAAUCUGAGGCCAAGGUAAGUCCUCUGACUCACGUUGUGCAUAGGCAGCCAUAAGGUGUAUUAGUUUACUAAUCGGGUCUUAGGGGUAGAACUUGUUGAGACGUAGUCUCAUCCCGGUUUGGGGAAAAUAUUUCAGGACUCUGAUGAAGAACCUGAGGAGAAAGAACUCGANNNNNNNNNNNNNNNNNNNNNNNNNNNNNNNNNNNNNNNNNNNNNNNNNNNNNNNNNNNNNNNNNNNNNNNNNNNNNNNNNNNNNNNNNNNNNNNNNNNNNNNNNNNNNNNNNNNNNNNNNNNNNNNNNUUAUAUAUCCCCAUUGCUUUAUGGUCUAGGGGUUUUUAUAACUGCUCCCGCAUGUGCUAUUAAAAGUAAAGGGUCAGCGAUUUGUAGUCCUGGGAUGUCGCAUUUUAAAAUCGACCAAAGGUAAGGGAUGUGCGCGUGCCUGAGGAUCGGGGCGUGACAUACAGAGAGUGGUAAAUUGAGGUUGCUGGUUUUGCGUGAUCUCGAAAACUUGAGGUGCAUUUGGUAGUCCGAUAGUCUUCGAAGCAUCCCGUUCCCAAAUUUGAUAGAUGUAGAGGCCAUGAGGUGCCCCCAUUUGGAAAUGCUUUUUCCUACCUUCACGGCGAGAUUUCUCAAACAAAUCGAAAGGCUGGUGGUGGAGUCAUGUGAAAAUAUGGAACUAAUUGCUGACCAUGAAAAAUGGGAAGAAGCGACCGAUACAACAAUCACCUUCUCUAAGUUAACGAGUUUGGGACACCUGGAGUGCCAUAACUUGGCACGGAAGAAUACUUAAGUGUCAUAACUUCAGAAAUGUAUACUUAAGUGCCAGUUUCGGAGUAAAGUGGAACGCUUAAGUACCACUUCAGCCAAAAUUCAGCCAAAUGGCUGACGUGGCAAUUUUCCGGUGAGUUGAGUGCAAAACAGCGUUGUUUUGCAUGCUGAUGUGGCGAGAAAAUGCAAAAACGAUGUCAUUUUGUAUCUGAUGUGUAAAUAUUAAUAUAAAAAUUAAUUAAAUUAAAUUUAAAAUUAAUUUUAUCUAAAAUAUUCUAAAAAAUAAAAAACUUAAAAAUAAAAAAAAACUUAAAAAAUAAAAAAAAUUAAAUUAAAAAAAACUUUAAAAAUAAAAAAAUUUAAAUUAAAUAAAUUUAAAAUAAAAAAACUUAAAAUUUAAAAAAUUUAAAAAUUAAAAAAGUAAAGAUUAAAAAAAUUUAAAUUAAAAAAACUUUAAAUUAAAAAAAUUUAAAUUUUAAAAACUUUAAAUUUUAAAAACUUAAAAAAUUCAAAUUAAAUUAAAAUUAAAUUAAAUUAAAAUUAAAAUUAAAAUUAAAAUUAAAACUUUAAAUUAAAAAAAAUUAAAUUAAAAAAUCUUAAUUUAAAAAUUUUAAAAACUUCCAUAUUUAAAUUUUAAGUUUUUUUAAUUUUAAUUUUUUUGAUUUAAAGUUUCUAAAAUUUUAAAUUUAAAAAACUUUAAAUUAAAAAACUUUAAAUUUUAAAAACUUUAAAUUUUAAAAACUUAAAAAAUUUAAAUAAUUAAAAAAUUUAAAUAAAAUUUAAAUUAAUUAAAAUUAAAUUUAAAUUAAAUUUAAAUUAAAUUUAAAUUAAAUUAAAAUUAAAUUAAAAUUAAAUUAAAAUUAAAUUAAAAUUAAAAUUAAAAUUAAAAAAAACUUUAAAUUAAAAAAAAUUAAAUUAAAAAAUCUUAAUUUAAAAAUUUUAAAAACUUCCAUAUUUAAAUUUUAAGUUUUUUUAAUUUAAAUUUUUUUGAUUUAAAGUUUUUAAAAUUUAAAUUUUUUUAAUUUUAAGUUUUUUUAAUUUUUAGAAUAUUUUAAAUAAAAUGAAGUUUAAAUUAAAUUUAAUUAAUUUUUAUAUUAAUUAUUUACACAUCAGACACAAAACGUCGUCAUUUUUGCAUUUUCUCACCACGUCAGCGUGCAAAACGAAGCCGUUUUGCACCCAACUCGCCGGAAAAUUGCCACAUCAGCCAUUCGGUCGGAUUUUUGCCAGAGUGGCACUUAAGUGUUCUACUUUACUCCGAAACUGGCACUUAAGUGUACCUUUCCGAAGUUAUAGUACUUAAGUGUCCUUCCAUGCCAAAUUAUGACACUUGAGCUGUUCUUCUACCCUAAGUUAACCACCCUUAGCCUUCUCAAGUUGCCGAAAUUCAGGAGGUUCUUCUUACCUGAGAAAUACUCUAUGAUAUUCCCGUGCUCCGAGGACUCCCCAUCCUUGCAAGUCUUGAGAAUACAGAGCUGUGGAGUAGAGCCAGACCAAGUCCUAGGUGGCAGGCGUUACUACGAAGUGAAAAGAAUUAUGGUAUUCCUUCAAUAUUUCAUUGCUUUGGUUUGGCUCUCUGUUCCUUUGAAUCGAAAAUUAGUUUGUAUUAUUAGCUAAGACACAAUUCUCAAUGGGAGCCACACGUGUUCUACAUCACGUGGCCCUCUCUCUUCCUUUCUCUCUCUCUAGUUCUCUUUCUUACUCUCUUCAACUAACGAUCUAUCUAUUCCAUUUUAUCCAUCCAGCAACAGUUGCCGCGAAGACUCCGUUUCAAGAAACAGAGAGCAUCGAAGGCUCUCGGUUAUUCUAGUUGAAUCAUUUCCUCUCACUUGGCUGCUCGUCGUCACCGCUUCCCAAUCACCACUUGUUCCGCUGCCGCGAAGAAGUUCUAUAAUGUCGGAGUGCUUGAACUUCGGUCACGACUGCCUACUUCGACGAUUCCAUCCCUUGAUGUUGCUUCUGUUAUUUCUUUACUCAUAUCCGAUCUCAAUUACUAUAGCUAAUCGUUCUCUAUUCAACUAAACCAUAUAUGCUCUGUUUUUUCGUUCCUAUUCUACU
rnacentral:lncRNA from 1 species